GGCAAUGGCAUUUUUGUUGGUUAUGAGCAGGCCUCCUCCAGAACUAAAAAGACUACUGCUUAAACUGAAAGUGUUUCUACCUGAGAUGAAACCAAGCUUUGCACAGGCAAGUGAUGUGCUCAUGUGUACAAAGCAAAAAGCAACAUAGCGUCCCCUAGCGGCAAACCAAACAGAAGCAGAGUAAUUUGGGGUAAAAGAGGCGACUGGGGCCAAUGGAAAGAGUGUCAAGCCUUGUGGCAAAUUCCAAACAUUCUUGCUCAUGCCAUUGGACACAGUGUCUCUAUGAUGCUGUACCCCUCAUGUACUUAUGUUUUUCUUUCUUAUUUCUGGUAUUUAUUUAUUUUUAUUUAAAGGGGAGCAUGAAUACAGUUCCCCAUAUCACAGAUCAUGUGGCAGUGGAGAAACCAUAGGUGUCAGUGCAUCUCAGGAGCAAGGCAUGGGCCUCACCUUGAGAAAACCACCUCGAUUCGAUUAUGGUCUUUCUUUUGCCAGUGACCAAGAGCAGUGGAGGAGGAAAGGGCUCACUUCAGAUUUCAGCUUACAGAGUGCCAUGAAGGAAAGAGAGGACUGAACCCAGAAGGAGAAACUGAAACAGAGGCCAUGGAGAGAUAUUACUUCCUGGCUUGCUUUCAUAGGUCACUCAGACUACUUACUCUCAUAUAAUUCAGAACUACUUGCCUGUAGACUGCUUUUAGAAGAUGGCCAUUUUUACUUCGUUAGAUCCAUGAGCAUGGGAGAGGCUUCACCUAGCAGCUGACUCAGACUAAAGCAGAGACCCACAACCAAACAGUGGAU
rnacentral:lncRNA from 1 species